UUAUGGCUAGUAUGAUGAAAAACAAUUAGAUGUGCGAGAGGUGAAUUCCUUUAUGAGCUUAAACAUCGAGGCUUAUUGAUAUUCUGACUUGUCGUUG
rfam:Capsicum annuum cultivar Zunla-1 chromosome 9, whole genome shotgun sequence